CCUACGGGUGGCUGCAGUGGGGAAUAUUGGACAAUGGGGGCAACCCUGAUCCAGCCAUGCCGCGUGUGUGAAGAAGGCCCUCGGGUUGUAAAGCACUUUCAGUGAGGAAGAACGCCUGGUGGUUAAUACCCAUCAGGAAAGACAUCACUCACAGAAGAAGCACCGGCUAACUCCGUGCCAGCAGCCGCGGUAAUACGGAGGGUGCGAGCGUUAAUCGGAAUUACUGGGCGUAAAGCGCGCGUAGGUGGCUUGAUAAGCCGGUUGUGAAAGCCCCGGGCUCAACCUGGGAACGGCAUCCGGAACUGUCAAGCUAGAGUGCAGGAGAGGAAGGUAGAAUUCCCGGUGUAGCGGUGAAAUGCGUAGAGAUCGGGAGGAAUACCAGUGGCGAAGGCGGCCUUCUGGACUGACACUGACACUGAGGUGCGAAAGCGUGGGUAGCAAACAGGAUUAGGAUACCCGGGUAGUC
rnacentral:rRNA from 1 species